rnacentral:rRNA from 1 species
UUUUAUUUUUUUUUUUUUUCUUUUCUUCUAGAGAACGCGGCGGCGUGCCUAAUACAUGCAAGUCGAACGAACUCUGGUAUUGAUUGGUGCUUGCAUCAUGAUUUACAUGUGAGUGAGUGGCGAACUGGUGAGUAACACGUGGGAAACCUGCCCAGAAGCGGGGGAUAACACCUGGAAACAGAUGCUAAUACCGCAUAACAACUUGGACCGCAUGGUCCGAGCUUGAAAGAUGGCUUCGGCUAUCACUUUUGGAUGGUCCCGCGGCGUAUUAGCUAGAUGGUGGGGUAACGGCUCACCAUGGCAAUGAUACGUAGCCGACCUGAGAGGGUAAUCGGCCACAUUGGGACUGAGACACGGCCCAAACUCCUACGGGAGGCAGCAGUAGGGAAUCUUCCACAAUGGACGAAAGUCUGAUGGAGCAACGCCGCGUGAGUGAAGAAGGGUUUCGGCUCGUAAAACUCUGUUGUUAAAGAAGAACAUAUCUGAGAGUAACUGUUCAGGUAUUGACGGUAUUUAACCAGAAAGCCACGGCUAACUACGUGCCAGCAGCCGCGGUAAUACGUAGGUGGCAAGCGUUGUCCGGAUUUAUUGGGCGUAAAGCGAGCGCAGGCGGUUUUUUAAGUCUGAUGUGAAAGCCUUCGGCUCAACCGAAGAAGUGCAUCGGAAACUGGGAAACUUGAGUGCAGAAGAGGACAGUGGAACUCCAUGUGUAGCGGUGAAAUGCGUAGAUAUAUGGAAGAACACCAGUGGCGAAGGCGGCUGUCUGGUCUGUAACUGACGCUGAGGCUCGAAAGUAUGGGUAGCAAACAGGAUUAGAUACCCUGGUAGUCCAUACCGUAAACGAUGAAUGCUAAGUGUUGGAGAGGUUUCCGCCCUCUCAGUGCUGCAGCUAACGCAUUAAGCAUUCCGCCUGGGGAGUACGGCCGCAAGGCUGAAACUCAAAGGAAUUGACGGGGGCCCGCACAAGCGGUGGAGCAUGUGGUUUAAUUCGAAGCUACGCGAAGAACCUUACCAGGUCUUGACAUACUAUGCAAAUCUAAGAGAUUAGACGUUCCCUUCGGGGACAUGGAUACAGGUGGUGCAUGGUUGUCGUCAGCUCGUGUCGUGAGAUGUUGGGUUAAGUCCCGCAACGAGCGCAACCCUUAUUAUCAGUUGCCAGCAUUAAGUUGGGCACUCUGGUGAGACUGCCGGUGACAAACCGGAGGAAGGUGGGGAUGACGUCAAAUCAUCAUGCCCCUUAUGACCUGGGCUACACACGUGCUACAAUGGAUGGUACAACGAGUUGCGAACUCGCGAGAGUAAGCUAAUCUCUUAAAGCCAUUCUCAGUUCGGAUUGUAGGCUGCAACUCGCCUACAUGAAGUCGGAAUCGCUAGUAAUCGCGGAUCAGCAUGCCGCGGUGAAUACGUUCCCGGGCCUUGUACACACCGCCCGUCACACCAUGAGAGUUUGUAACACCCAAAGUCGGUGGGGUAACCUUUUAGGAACCAGCCGCCUAAGGUGGGACAGAUGAUUAGGGU